CGUUGGUAAAGUAAAUUAAGAUAGUCAGGGAUAAGAACAUAUGUUUUGAUAGUUAAUCAUCACUAUAUAUAUUUUUGGCACGCGAGAGCAAUCAAGAAAAGAUUUUUUUUCUAAACUGGCAGUUUGCCUUCAGAAACAGGUUGAGAUUUCUGAACAAUCUGUCAUGUAGAUAAAUAAUUAGUUUAACUUUCAUAACAAAUCAGAAUAAUAAUAACCUACAUUUAUUUGAUAAAUAUUAUAUUAAUGUACAAUUCUAACACACAUAAAGGAGGGUAGAAAAAUUAAAGAAUUAAAAAUAAUAAAAAUAAAAACAAAA
rnacentral:lncRNA from 1 species